AAGCCGGGUUACGGUGUCCAACUGCGCACUAAUCUAGAACCCACAAAGGGUGUUGGUCGAUUAAGACAGCAGGAUGGUGGUCAUGGAAGUCGAAAUCCGCUAAGGAGUGUGUAACAACUCACCUGCCGAAUCAACUAGCCCCAAAAAUGAAUGGCGCUGAAGCGCGUGACCUAUACCCGGCCGUCGGGGCAAGAGCCAGGCCUCGAUG
rnacentral:rRNA from 1 species